rnacentral:hammerhead_ribozyme from 1 species
GUCCAGCUGAUAAGUCUCAAAUAGGACGAAACGCGCGUCAAACUGGAU